rnacentral:rRNA from 1 species
GAUGAACGCUAGCGGCAGGCUUCAUACAUGCAAGUCGAGGGGCAGCAUAAAUUACUUGUAAUUUGAUGGCGACCGGCGAACGGGUGCGUAACGCGUAUGCAACUUACCUUUUACUAGAGAAUAGCCAAGAGAAAUUUUGAUUAAUGCUCUAUGUUCUUAUUUACUCGCAUGAGUAAAUAAGCAAAGCUCCGGCGGUAAAAGAUGGGCAUGCGUCCUAUUAGCUUGUAGGUGAGGUAACGGCUCACCUAAGCUCCGAUAGGUAGGGGUCCUGAGAGGGAGAUCCCCCACACUGGUACUGAGAC